rnacentral:rRNA from 1 species
GGACUACCCGGGUUUCUAAUCCUGUUCGCUCCCCACGCUUUCGCUCCUCAGCGUCAGUAUCGGUCCAGAGACCCGCCUUCGCCACCGGUGUUCCUCCUGAUAUCUGCGCAUUUCACCGCUACACCAGGAAUUCCAGUCUCCCCUACCGCACUCUAGCUAGCCCGUAUCCACUGCAGGCUCGGGGUUGAGCCCCGAGUUUUCACAGCAGACGUGACAAGCCGCCUACGAGCUCUUUACGCCCAAUAAUUCCGGACAACGCUUGCACCCUACGUAUUACCGCGGCUGCUGGCAC